AGUAAACAUCUGGAAUAGACAACCCGCUGUAGGAGUUCGGAGUAGACCAUUCGUAGUAGAAGUUCGGCUCUCGCAGGAGCUCGAUCGGGAUCCGAAAGGCGGUCGACUGUCGUAAAAACUUGGAAGGAGUCUGGUUACUGUAGAAAUCUCAUUGUCGGGGAAGCUCGGAUGCUGAUGAAGUCUGAAAGAAGUUCAGGGAUAGUCGGUUGCUGUAGAAGGUCGGCUAACAGUGGGGCCUUGAGGGCCUUUGGGGUGGCCCGGU
rnacentral:lncRNA from 1 species